AUGAGCUUGAUAACAUCCAGCUUUUUUGUUGGUUGGGUAUCUCUUUCUCCACCAGCCAGCCCAGGGACGACACGCCCUCUCCCAAGGCCAUGUAGGCAUCACGUCGGUGUCUCCCACUGCUCUCCAUACUCAGUGCACUCACGUAUCAUCCCACCCCCGUCGUCAUCUCUCCCUUCCUCUGCGUUGCUUAUUAAGACCACCACCACCCCUCCUCACACAGCAGCCACAAGUUCCACCCUCACCCUCUUCUACCCAUUGGAAAUCGCAGCUCGAACUUCCCUCCUCCAUGAACAUUUUCCUGUCAACAGAGUAACAUCGCUGCAGCCACCACCCCCUCCUCAGCUUCUUCUACCUUUGGAAAUCGCAGCUCUGAACUCAUCCUCAACAGGGGCAGAGCAGUUGGGACUGCCCGCCCUCGUGUCCAAGAGGGCAGAGUUUGUGCGGGCGUUUCCAAACCAGCUCCGGCGCCCCACCACCCACACUCAAGAAUUUCUUGGGCUCAAGAGGGAUGCCGGGUUGUGGAGAGACACCAACUACGGCGAGGGAGUCAUCAUCGGUGUAGUUGACACCGGCAUCUAUGCGGCGCAUCCUUCCUUUGGUGAUAGUGGUAUCCCGCCACCCCCAUCAAAGUGGAAGGGUUCAUGCCAUGGCACUGCUGCUGCCCAUUGCAACAAGAUGAUUAAGCUUCAAGACUGUUGUGCAACUUGGGAACGGCAAUCACAUCAAUGGGGAGGCUUUUAA
rnacentral:rRNA from 1 species